GACGAACGCUGGCGGCGUGCUUAACACAUGCAAGUCGAACGGAAAGGCCCUGCUUUUGUGGGGUGCUCGAGUGGCGAACGGGUGAGUAACACGUGAGUAACCUGCCCUUGACUUUGGGAUAACUUCAGGAAACUGGGGCUAAUACCGGAUAGGAGCUCCUGCUGCAUGGUGGGGGUUGGAAAGUUUCGGCGGUUGGGGAUGGACUCGCGGCUUAUCAGCUUGUUGGUGGGGUAGUGGCUUACCAAGGCUUUGACGGGUAGCCGGCCUGAGAGGGUGACCGGCCACAUUGGGACUGAGAUACGGCCCGGACUCCUCGGGGGGGCAGCAGUGGGGAAUAUUGCACAAGGGGCGGAAGCCUGAUGCAGCAACGCCGCGUGCGGGAUGACGGCCUUCGGGUUGUAAACCGCUUUCGCCUGUGACGAAGCGUGAGUGACGGUAAUGGGUAAAGAAGCACCGGCUAACUACGUG
rnacentral:rRNA from 1 species